rfam:Rattus norvegicus chromosome 20, whole genome shotgun sequence.
GGGGAUUUAGCUCAGUGGUAGAGCGCUUGCCUAGCAAGCGCAAGGCCCUGGUUCAGUCCCCA